UACGUAGGGCGCGAGCGUUGUCCGGAAUUAUUGGGCGUAAAGAGCUCGUAGGCGGUCUGUCGCGUCGGCUGUGAAAACCCGGAGCUCAACUCCGGGCCUGCAGUCGAUACGGGCAGACUGGAGUUCGGCAGGGGAGACUGGAAUUCCUGGUGUAGCGGUGAAAUGCGCAGAUAUCAGGAGGAACACCGGUGGCGAAGGCGGGUCUCUGGGCCGAUACUGACGCUGAGGAGCGAAAGCGUGGGGAGCGAACAGG
rnacentral:rRNA from 1 species